UACGGGAGGCAGCAGUGGGGAAUAUUGGGCAAUGGGCGAAAGCCUGACCCAGCAAUGCCGCGUGAGGGAUGAAGGUCUUCGGAUUGUAAACCUCUGUCCUUGGUGACGAAGGAAGUGACGGUAGCCAAGGAGGAAGCCCCGGCUAACUACGUGCCAGCAGCCGCGGUAAU
rnacentral:rRNA from 1 species